rnacentral:rRNA from 1 species
GAUGAACGCUGGCGGCGUGCCUAAUACAUGCAAGUAGAACGCUGAAGCUUGGUGCUUGCACCGAGCGGAUGAGUUGCGAACGGGUGAGUAACGCGUAGGUAACCUGCCUCUUAGCGGGGGAUAACUAUUGGAAACGAUAGCUAAUACCGCAUAAAAGUCGACAUCGCAUGAUGUUGACUUGAAAGGUGCAAUUGCAUCACUAAGAGAUGGACCUGCGUUGUAUUAGCUAGUUGGUGAGGUAACGGCUCACCAAGGCGACGAUACAUAGCCGACCUGAGAGGGUGAUCGGCCACACUGGGACUGAGACACGGCCCAGACUCCUACGGGAGGCAGCAGUAGGGAAUCUUCGGCAAUGGGGGCAAACCUGACCGAGCAACGCCGCGUGAGUGAAGAAGGUGUUCGGAUCGUAAAGCUCUGUUGUAAGAGAAGAACGAGUGUGAGAGUGGAAAGUUCACACUGUGACGGUAACUUACCAGAAAGGGACGGCUAACUACGUG